CCUGCCCGCGCCCGCCGGCGCCCCGUUGCAGGCAGUGAAGAGCUAAGGGGCCGUUCACGUUGGAUGAAAUCAUCUGGAGCCGGAUGGCCAACAAAGGAAAAACAUUUAGCACUUCGAGGGCUUUGCGGAAUAUGCUGGGCUGUGCUUAAGAAAAGAGCCCUCAGCAAAACUUGAGUUUAGUAGAAGCAUGGGUAUCAAAAUUAGAGAAAUUUCAUUAUGAAAUCCUUUUUAAUUAAUAUGACAUGGAUAGCUGUAAACUUGAGUUUUGAGCAACAGUGAGGAAAGAAACUAUUAGAGGAGAGUGAAUACCCCUAGGGAUAUCCUGAAGAUUGUGGAAUUUUGACUCAUUUGAUAGAGCACCUACCUGAAAAAACUAAAAUCAAUGAGAAUCAAGAGGAAAAUGGAAUGACCAGAUUGGAGACACUGCUGAGACAAGGGGAGAACAUGAAGUCUACAGGAGCCUUUACAACAAGACAAAUGAGUGCUCAAGUCUCUGCAAAAGGAGAAUACAGCGUGCAGGCAGAGGGAGCCAUGCCAUUCUGUACUCUUGGCAUCAUUACUACUACAACGGUGGGUGCAGUGGCCUCAAGUCACUUGCUUCAGAAGGCACUAGGUCACCAUCCAUCUCAACAGAGGGGAUGAUGAAUCCUGAUGCCACCACCUGACCAGAUUACUCACAUUCCACUUUGUGCUGAUUCUCUGCCAAGAACCACAGAGCAAAAUGAAAUGACAGUGUGGGGAGACAGCUGCUAAGUAAUCUCUUUGUUGUAUUUCUAAUAAGAUAGCUACAUCAUUUCUGUUGCUAACGUAUAGCCGUAUUAGUUCUGAAAUAAGCUAUUAUGGUUUUUUCCCCUCAGUGGACUGCAGUUGCAAUAAGUAAUACAUCAUUUAUAAUUGGAAAUGUGUAUCCCUACGACAAAAAGUUUGCUACUUCUUGCUUAAACUUUUAAAGACUUUUGAGUAUAUUGCUUGAAUUUGAAACCAGCAGCUUGAUUUGCACACAUAAUUUGAUAUUGACGGAGCACCUGGUGCAUGGUCGGGCUCCGGGAGUAGAAUGAAGAAGAGAAAGCAGGUGAGGGUGGAACUCUGAGGAAGAAAACAUUUUAGGGAAGGAGACUGGGGAAGUCGGCCAGGAAAGCAGGAAGAGCCCGGAUGUCAAGGGCAAAGAGCACGUGUAGGAGGUGGGCUUGUUGGUGUCAAAUGCUACAAAGAACAACCAAAGCACCUGCUGGUUUUAGCAGCAAAGAGGUCAUGUUGAACCUGGUCAGAGAGGAUGCAGCAGAAUUCCUGGGGCAGAAAUGAGGUCACACGGAUUGGAAGGGAUUUGGAUGUGAGCACAGAGUGGGGAGUGCAGCUUAAAUGCAGAGCUUCAGACACAGAGGCUAACUGAUGCGCUCAGGCCCCCAGGAAGUAGACAGGAUGAGAAUCCCAAGGGAUCUGCCUGAGGCCAUGGGGCGGGGGAACAGCACCUUGGCCACUGUGACAGGAGGCAGGAGUCACGGUGGCAGGUCAGCGGUGAGUGGUGAGACCGCCAUCCUCCUCAUCCCCAUGGCCAUCAACAGUGGCCAGUAAAACUGUAGAGGGGAGCACGGAGUGAAAGACACUGUGGCUUUGAGGACUUCACUUUUCUUAAGAAAUGAGGAGCAAGGCCGUUUGCUGACGGUGACAGGGGAAACGGCUGGACGGGAGCCUGAUAAAGGAGCCGAGGUUCAAAAAUGCUCCUGUGGGAACCAGGAAAGACCUGUCUGGAAAAAUGAAGGGCUAUGGGGGCACAGAGGUCCAGCCAGGAUGGACACAUUUAGACUGUUUACACUGAUCAUACUGCAGGUGCUUGGGAACCUCAGUGUAAGGCAGAAGGUGAAGAGUCAGGCGGUCCUGGGGCAAGAGUAACAGAACGAGAGGCUGGGAAGUCGAGGGCACUGCCUAGGGGGUGAUGGACCCAGUUCUAGACUAGAAGGGGAAGCAAGGAAGCCUCAAAAGAGCCUCACCAUCUGAGAAAAACCCAGAGGGGUAAGGAAAUUGAGUAGAAGUUCAAGAGUGAUGGGACCAGCCCUAGACCUGGGCCAGAGGGGAUCUGCCUGGGUCCCAUAUUCUGGAAGGUUCUGCUCUGGCCCUCAUCUGGCUGCACCUUUCUCCAGAGAACAAAGAGUGUGCAGGACCAAGGGGAUGUGUCCACCCAAGCUACACACUCCACCUUUUAAAGGAUAUUCCAGGUACUUGGGACCCUAGGGUUGAUUCCCUACCCAAAUAGCACUAAGCCUACUUUCAGUGCCUGUGCAGGCCACUUCCUAAGGGCUUGCUCAAAGAGUAGCUGUUUGUAGGAGAUGUGGAUUAAGCUCAGAGUGAGGGGUGGUGUCCAUGCAAGUGUGUGAGCCCCUCACCACAGGGAGCACAGCCGCAGACCAGGGGCCAGUGCCCCCCUUGCCAUAGAUGUCCCAUGUGGGCCUCCAAGGAACUGAUGGUUUCUAAUCAAGCCUUUGCUUUCUAGCUUGUUAUUAAAGUAUAUUUGUCAAGGUAGGAAGAGAAAAUAUAUUUAAUAUUUACCUUGCUUUAUUAUAUAUAUAUAUGUAUAUAUAUAUGUAUAUAGAUAGGUAGAUAGGUAGAUAGAUAGGCUGUACAUAGACACACAUGCACACAGAGCACGUGGCAUCCCAUGUGUACUCUUGCUCCAGGCGUGCAAACGUCAGGGAUGUGACUGAAUGAAGGAGGCAGCUGGAUAAGAGGUUGAAGUAGGAAUUCUUAGACUUCUGAGUCAACGUGGCACAGUAAACACUUGCUGAAAAUUUUCAGUCUGCUGCCACAUACAGAAGUAACAGAUAAAAUAUUUUUUAAAACCACAUAAGCCUGUUCUAUUUUCUAUUUGCAUUCUCUGCUUUGCUAUGUACCCGUCCGGACCACAUUACUUGGGCUCCCUGGUUGGCUGCCUCUCAGCUGGGUUUGGCCAGCAGAAGGUACUAGCAAGAGAUAAGAGGGUAGGAAGAGAGAGGAUAGGAUAUUUCUUUUUUGCUCCCUCACUACUUCAGGCCUGCCUUCUAAUGGUAGCUACUUCCCUCUAAACUCAGCUUCUACUAGGGGGCCCCUCAGUGGUAGCACCAGCUGUCCCUACACUCCGAUAAAGACAUCUCUUCCUUUGCCUCUUUAGGACUCAGUGUGGCGACAGCCUACCACUGUUCUUAGUCUCUGGGUACCUUAAAUGACCUUGCUGGAUUCUUUAUUCCUGUCCUUACUUCCAUAAAUAGUUUCUUCAUUAAAAUCUCUUGAAUUUAAGUAUUUAAAUGAUAUUCUAUUUUUUGCUGGGGACUUGGCUGAUUAAAAGCAUUUUCAAAAACAAGAAAAGUACAUCUCUCUAAAUAGGAGAGGAUAAUGACCCCCAGUAAUAAGUAGUGAUGAAGACUCUGUGGCCAUUGUGAAAUUGGGGUGAGGGCAGGUGCUAGAAAGAACUGGGGGUCUUACGUUUCUGUAUCUGCAAAGGGAAAGGGACUAAUACCACAGAUAUCAGGGUGGGGUAGGAUGGGAUGAGAUUAGUUCUAUUAUUGCAGUUAGGGUCAAGGCCUCCAAAUUGCCUGUGACUAGAAAUGAAGAUGCCUAUACUUGACUAACGUCUGAGUCCACACUGCCCGUGAGCUCAGACAUUGUUACUUCUCUGCAGUGGGAUUCCCAAGCCAUGCUUAAUUUAUGACUU